AUUGAACGCUGGCGGCAUGCCUUACACAUGCAAGUCGAACGGUAACAGGUCUUCGGAUGCUGACGAGUGGCGAACGGGUGAGUAAUACAUCGGAACGUGCCUAGUAGUGGGGGAUAACUACUCGAAAGAGUGGCUAAUACCGCAUGAGAUCUACGGAUGAAAGCAGGGGAUCGCAAGACCUUGUGCUACUAGAGCGGCCGAUGGCAGAUUAGGUAGUUGGUGGGAUAAAAGCUUACCAAGCCGACGAUCUGUAGCUGGUCUGAGAGGACGAUCAGCCACACUGGGACUGGGACACGGCCCAGACUCCUACGGGAGGCAGCAGUGGGGAACUUUGGACAAUGGGCGCAAGCCUGACCCAGCAAUGCCGCGUGCAGGAUGAAGGCCUUCGGGUUGUAAACUGCUUUUGUACGGAACAAAAGCCCCGGGUUAAUACCCUGGGGUCAUGACGGUACCGUAAGAAUAAGCACCGGCUAACUACGUGCCAGCAGCCGCCGUAA
rnacentral:rRNA from 1 species